UCCGGCUUAGACGCCGGCAGUUUCACAAGACACUUGUAACUUGCGAUAGGGGUUGCGCUCGUUUUCACACUUAAGUGAACACCUCACGGCACGAGCUGACGACAACCGUGCAGCACCUGUGUAGCACCCUCGAAGGAAUUCCAUUUCUGGAGUGUGCAGCUACAUGUCAAGCCUUGGUAAGGUUCCUCGCUUACUGUCGAAUUAAACCACAUGCUCCACCGCUUGUGCAGGUCCCCGUCAAUUCCUUUGAGUUUUAGCCUUGCGGCCGUACUCCCCAGGCGGCACGUUUAACGCGUUAGCUUUGGUACUGAAGAGGGUCGAUACUCCCCAGCACCUAACGUGCAUCGUUUACAGCGUGGACUA
rnacentral:misc_RNA from 1 species